rnacentral:rRNA from 1 species
AGAGUUUGAUCAUGGCUCAGAACGAACGCUGGCGGCGUGCUUAACACAUGCAAGUCGAGUGCGCGGUUGUAGCAAUACAACUGGCGCACGGCGCACGGGUGCGUAACACGUGGGCAAUCUGCCCUUCGAUGGGGAAUAACUCCGGGAAACCGGAGCUAAUUCCGCAUAACAUUCCUUGGACCUCGGUUCGAGGACUCAAAGCCGUAAGGCGUCGAAGGAGGAGCCCGCGCACGAUUAGCUAGUUGGUAGGGUAACGGCCUACCAAGGCUUUGAUCGUUAGCUGGUCUGAGAGGAUGGCCAGCCACACUGGAACUGAGACACGGUCCAGACUCCUACGGGAGGCAGCAGUGGGGAAUCUUGCACAAUGGGCGAAAGCCUGAUGCAGCGACGCCGCGUGGGGGAUGAAGCAUUUCGGUGUGUAAACCCCUUUCGACCCGGACGAAUGCCUCGCAAGAGGAGUGACGGUACGGGUAUAAGAAGCCCCGGCUAACUACGUGCCAGCAGCCGCGGUAAGACGUAGGGGGCCAGCGUUGUUCGGAAUUACUGGGUGUAAAGGGUUCGUAGGCGGUGUGGCAAGUUGGGAGUGAAAUCUCUGGGCUCAACCCAGAGGCUGCUUCCAAAACUGCUGUGCUUGAGUGUGGGAGAGGCGCGUGGAAUUGCAGGUGUAGCGGUGAAAUGCGUAGAUAUCUGCAGGAACACCCGUGGCGAAAGCGGCGCGCUGGACCACAACUGACGCUGAGGAACGAAAGCUAGGGGAGCAAACAGGAUUAGAUACCCUAGUAGUCC